rnacentral:lncRNA from 1 species
UGUCUUCAUUUAAUUUAGAUAGGGAUCUAAUACCAAGACCACCUUCAUCAAAAGGUGUUAUUGGUUAUUAUAAACAAUGUGUUGGAACAUGUGUGGAAAUUGAGUUAAAAAGACUAAACACAAAUUCCCAUGUUGGGUAGAACUAGUGUUGUGUGAAUUGAAAAAAGUGAAAGUCCCUCAUCGGAUGGAACACACACAUUAGUAGUGUUUAUAUAGUGGGGGUGUAUCUUUAAGAGG